rnacentral:lncRNA from 1 species
GUGUCAAGAUGGGAUUGACCACUCCAGUUUAGGAGCUGUGUACAGUCGUAUUUCAAUUUAGCAAAACCUUGGCCAGGGUAGUCCUAGUGAGGAGUCACAUGACUAAUUGAGUUGAGCACGAUUCGGAUGAUAUCAUCAGGGUUGACAGUUUAACCCUGAGUCGUCCUAAACACAGGGGUCAAAAGGGAUGAAUUAUACGGUAACCAUAUUCACGUAGGU